GUGUGUGUGUGUGUGUGUGUGUGUGUGUGUGUGUGUGUGUGUGUGUGUGUGUGUGUGUGUGUGUGUGUGAAGGUGUGUAAAAGCAGUAUAUUGUUAGUUUAUUAUUCCACCACUAAUGAAUCAACAUAAUUUCAAGUAAAUUUAUGUUUUUACAAACCAACAUAUACAAAGAUGCAACCAGAUGAAAAUAGAGAAAUUAGAUGAAAAUAAACAGACAGAGAUUAAUACAGACUAAUACAGAUAGAGACACAUACUAACACAGAUAUGGACUAAUACAGAUAGAGGCAUGCAUACUAAUACAGAUAUGGACUAACACAGAUAUGGACUAAUACAGAUAGAGACAUACAUACUAAUACAGAUAUGGAACUAAUACAGACUAAUACAGAUAUGGACUAAUACAGACUAAUACAGAUAGAGACUAAUACAGAUAGAGCGUAACAUAGACUAAUACAGAUAGAGACUAAUACAGACUGAUACAGAUAGAGACUAAUACAGACUAAUACAGAUAGAGACUAAUACAUACUAAUACAGAUAGAGACUAAUACAUACUAAUACAGAUAGAGACUAAUACAGACGAAUACAGAUAGAGAGUAACACAGACUAAUACAGAUAUAGUCAAAUACAGACUAAUACAGAUAGAGACUAAUACAGACUAAUACAGAUAGAGACUAAUACAGACUAAUACAGAUAGAGACGAAUGCAGACUAAUACAGAUAGAGAGUAACACAGACUAAUACAGAUAUAGACAAAUACAGAUAGAGACUAAUACAUAUAGAGAGUAACAAAGACUAAUACAGAUAGAGACUAAUACAGCUAGAGACUAAUACAGCUAGAGACUAAUACAGACUAUUACAGAUGGAGACGGAUACAGACUAAUACAGAUAGAGACUAAUACAUAUAAAUAUGAAUACAGACUAUUACAGAUAGAGACUAAUACAGAUAGAGAUGAAUACAGACUAUUACAGAUAGAGACUAAUACAGAUAAAGAUGAAUACAGAUAGAGAGGGAAUACAGACUAUUACAGAUAGAGACGGAUACAGAUAGAGACUAAUACAGACUAUUACAGAUAAAGAUGAGUAGAGAUAGAGAUGAAUACAGACUAAUACAGAUAGAGACAAAUACAGACUAAUACAGAUAGAGACUAAUACAGACUAAUACAGAUAGAGACUAAUACAGAUCAAUAUGAAUACAGAUAGAGACAAAUACAGACUAUUACAGAUAGAGACUAAUACAGCUAGAGACUAAUACAGACUAUUACAGAUGGAGGCGGAUACAGACUAAUACAGAUAGAGACUAAUACACAUAAAGAUGAAUACAGAUAAAGAUGAAUACAGACUAUUACAGAUAUAGACUAAUACAGAUAAAGAUGAAUACAGAUAGAGACGAAUACAGACUAUUACAGAUAGAGACUAAUACAGAUAAAGAUGAAUACAGACUAUUACAGAUAGAGACUAAUACAGAUAAAGAUGAAUACAGAUAGAGACGAAUACAGACUAUUACACAUAGAGACUAAUACAGAUAGAGACUAAUACAGACUAUUACAGGUAAAGAUGAAUAGAGAUAGAGAUGAAUACAGACUAAUACAGAUAGAGACAAAUACAGACCAAUACAGAUAGAGACUAAUACAGACUAAUACAGAUAGAGACUAAUACAGAUCAAUAUGAAUACAGAUAGAGACGAAUACAGACUAUUACAGAUAGAGACUAAUACAGCUAGAGACUAAUACAGGCUAUUACAGAUGGAGACGGAUACAGACUAAUACAGAUAGAGACUAAUACAGAUAAAUAUGAAUACAGAUAGAGACGAAUACGGACUAUUACAGAUAGAGACUAAUACAGCUAGAGACUAAUACAGACUAUUACAGAUGGAGACGGAUACAGACUAAUACAGAUAGAGACUAAUACACAUAAAGAUGAAUACAGAUAAAGAUGAAUGCAGACUAUUACAGAUAGAGACUAAUACAGAUGAAUACAGACUAUUACAGAUAGAGACUAAUACAGAUAAAUAUGAAUACAGAUAGAGACGAAUACAGACUAUUACAGAUAAAGAUGAGUACAGAUAGAGACGAAUACAGACUAAUACAGAUAGAGACUAAUACAGAUAGAGACGAAUACAGACUAAUACAGAUAGAGACGAAUACAGACAAAUACAGAUAGCGACGGAUACAGACUAAUACAGAUAGAGACGAAUGCAGAUUUAGAUUUAGAGAGGUAAAGAAAUCAAAUAAAGACAGU
ensembl:lncRNA